rfam:Sistotremastrum suecicum HHB10207 ss-3 unplaced genomic scaffold SISSTscaffold_5, whole genome shotgun sequence.
UUCAAGAUGAUUAGUUUUCAAGGAAUAGUUCACACUGAAACAUUCCAUGUUGAUACAUCACUGCAUGUCUUUCGCUCCUAUCUGAUUCCUCCA